rfam:Dipodomys ordii contig_49725, whole genome shotgun sequence.
GGGAUGGUAGCUCAGUGGUAGAGCGCUAGCCUUGCAUGCAUGAAGCCCUGGGUUCGAUUCCUCAUCACCACA